rnacentral:pre_miRNA from 1 species
CUUGCAUCGAUGGGGUCCCUCAGCCUGGCUUGCAUCCUCUUGCAAUCCAGGACCCCUCAGGGGAUGUCAAGGAGCCGGUUUUGGCACGAUCCCGCCCGCGGGCCAGGCUGAGGGACCCCACUGGUGCAUG